rnacentral:SRP_RNA from 1 species
GUUGAGCUCAGUAACGAGACCUUGUAACUUAAGUGGAAGCAUUAAGGUGGUGUGGACGUUAUUGUACCGUUGCGGGCCUGGUCUUGAUGUGCUAUUGUUGGCCCGCCCGUUCCAAGUUGCGUAGUGGACUGUCUGGGCCUAUGCGAAAGAUGGGCGACCCAUAAUGUGGCAGGCACUGUGCGAGGCUGGCUUCACGCCUCACACGGAGCAGCGAUAACGGGCCGCUGCACUCCCGGGCCACUUGGGCCUCGCAGCCUACUAUAGCAAACCAUAACGUUU